rnacentral:rRNA from 1 species
GACGAACGCUGGCGGCGUGCUUAACACAUGCAAGUCGAACGGUAAGGCCCUUCGGGGUACACGAGUGGCGAACGGGUGAGUAACACGUGGGUGAUCUGCCCUGCACUUCGGGAUAAGCCUGGGAAACUGGGUCUAAUACCGGAUAGGACCACUGCCUGCAUGGGUGGUGGUGGAAAGCUUUUGCGGUGUGGGAUGGGGCCGCGGCCUAUCAGCUUGUUGGUGGGGUGAUGGCCUACCAAGGCGACGACGGGUAGCCGGCCUGAGAGGGUGACCGGCCACACUGGGACUGAGAUACGGCCCAGACUCCUACGGGAGGCAGCAGUGGGGAAUAUUGCACAAUGGGCGCAAGCCUGAUGCAGCGACGCCGCGUGAGGGAUGACGGCCUUCGGGUUGUAAGCCUCUUUCAGCACCGACGAAGCGCAAGUGACGGUAGGUGCAGAAGAAGGACCGGCCAACUACGUGCCAGCAGCCGCGGUAA